rnacentral:ncRNA from 1 species
GUGGCUGUGUGUACUCGUGUCUCGAAAGAGGUGUGAGUUGCGGCCGAUACGAGUGUCGAAGCGUGCAGCGUGAGCGCACGUGGAACGGGCACCAGUGCAGAUCUUGGUGGCAGUAGCAAAUAUUCAAGUGAGAACCUUGAAGCCUGAAGCAUGGAGAAGGGUUCCCGGGGAACAGCACUUGGCCCGGGGUCAGGCGGUCCUAAGC